rnacentral:rRNA from 1 species
CUACUCUUACAUAAGAAGUCUGACCUGCCCAGUGAAAUUUUUAACGGCCGCGGUACUCUGACCGUGCAAAGGUAGCAUAAUCACUUGCCUUAUAAUUGAAGGCUUGUAUGAAUGGUUUGACAAGAAUAAAACUGUCUCUUUUUAAAUACAUAGAAUUUGAUUUCUAGGUGAAGAAGCCUAUAUUAAAUUGAAAGACAAGAAGACCCUAUCGAGCUUGAAAACUUUUUAUUAUAUAAUGAUUAAAUCAAGUUUUAAUAGAAAUUUUUAGUUGGGGCGACUGAGGAACAAAAAAGCUUCCUUUAAAAUUACUUGCUAAUAAGUUUUGAUCCAAAAUAUUUGAUUAAAAAAAUUAGUUACCGUAGGGAUAACAGCAUAAUUUUUCUUGAGAGCUCAUAUCGAAAGAAAAGUUUGUGACCUCGAUGUUGGACUAGGAUAUCCUGAUAGAUGUAGAAGUCUUCAAUGGUUGGUCUGUUCGACCA